rnacentral:rRNA from 1 species
UACGUAGGGGGCAAGCGUUGUCCGGAUUUAUUGGGCGUAAAGCGCGUGUAGGCGGCCAGAUAGGUCUGCUGUGAAAACUCGAGGCUCAACCUCGAGCUGUCGGCGGAAACCAUCUAGCUAGAGUCCGGAAGAGGAGAGUGGAAUUCCUGGUGUAGCGGUGAAAUGCGCAGAUAUCAGGAAGAACACCCGUGGCGAAGGCGGCUCUCUGGUACGUGACUGACGCUGAGACGCGAAAGCGUGGGGAGCGAACAGG